AGUUGCUCUUUUUGUGGAUAGAAGUCCCAGUUGGCUUGCUGCUCCUCCAGGAUAUCAUGUUGGAGCUAUGGAUCAGUCAGCUCUAUCCCAAGGGAAAUGCUUUGGAAGGGGAACAGAGGCAGAGAGGAGACUCCCUGAAACCUAGAAGGAUGGUGGUCUUGGGGUUUUUCAUCAAGUACUAGAGCCCCAGGCCCAGCGCUCGUGAUACAUCUCAGGGAAGAACUUGGAGAGGAAGGACUUCGUGGUGUACCUAGAGAGGCUGGAUAUUAGACCCUGGAGCUUUCAGCCCUGGAAAAGAAUUCUGUGCCAAGCUUGGCAGGAGUCCGUGGAGCUGUCUGACCUUAAGUGAUCAUAAGAGCCUGGGUGAUGAGCACAUGGUGCUGAUGGGUAUGGACUGAAGAGAACAGGACUCUGUCCAAGUGUGUGCUCCGGAUGACCUAGAAGAUUUAUGAUGUGUAGCAAUUUGUUCGUCCGCUCAGGCACAGAUCUGAAUCACACGGAGUCUGGAUGUAGGGCCUGGACAUCACUUAGCUGGUGUGUGCACUUAGCUAGCUGCCCAACCUCCCUGCUGUGUUGAUUGGCAUCCAGGUGAUUCCAAUGAAGAGCAAAGUUGAUGUGCCACUCAUCCAGCCUUGACUCAAAGGAACCACGUGUGGACCUACAAUCCCGAGUCUGUCUCUGAGAUCCUGCUUUGGCACUACUGAGGACAAGCUCCUGUGCCUUUCAGCCAACUUCCCCAGAUAUUUUGAUGGGGGUGCUUCUCCAGCGAGGCUUUGAAAAUCCCUGACAUAAGCGACUGGAUCUGAAGCCUCCUUCCACAGAGCACAUGGAGGUCUGAAUUCAUUUUUGUUUGUCACCCAGGCUCAGCUUUUCACUUUGCACAACCCGAAUAGCUCAGCAGCUUUACACUUAAUGAUGCAUGUCAUACCCGUAUAGUUUCUACCCAUUAUUCAAUAUUUGUUAUUUUUAAUCAUAUUUUUAUCUUUCUCCUACUGAACUGCAGAUCUCUCUGGGGCUGGGAGUAUUCAUUUUAUUUUUACCCGUUUAUAAUACUUGGCACGAUGCCUUGCAAAUAAUAGGUGCUUAAUAAAUGUUUGUAGAAUGAAAGAAACACAAAAAAGCAAUUAAGUAUUGUUCUGAAUCAGCAGCUUGCCUAACUCAAUUUAAAACAAAACUCGGUCGAGAGAGGAGUAUGGCAAUAUGGCAUUAGUGUGAACGCAUUAUCAAUUUCUAAAAUUUU